rnacentral:lncRNA from 1 species
CUUUAGGAAAGCCCCAUCGCCCUUCCACUGGGACGCGGCUGGCCUUCACACCCCACGGCACACCCCUCUCCCCUCCUGUCCCCUCCAGCCAACUGAAACCAGGCAGGAUGCAGCGCCUGGCAGGCAUGAUGCUCCGACUUCCGCUCCCAGUCGGCCUCUGACAAACUGGCCUUGGGCAGGGUAGUGUCUAGGAAUUCUAGGACGUGGGACAAAAAUGUGCCCCUUAGUCCCUCAGCCUCCCCUGUCCACCCACAGUUCAUCCCUGGUCUUUGGGCUGGGCCUGCUGGUUGAGUGACAAGUUCUUCCACGUGAACCUCAAGGGCAGGCACCCCUAAAGCCCUCGGAACACCCUCCCUCCUCCUUCUCUGAAGUCAAAGAGGGGGCAGUUCCAAGCACUGGGCUCCCUGGAGGUCUUUCCUCGACGGCCUUUCUCCCUCCGGGCCCUGGCUGCACCCCGCCUACUUGGCCUGCGGAUCUGGGAUCUCGAGGACCCUGCCAGCAACCCUCGUCGUCCCCCCCACGCCCGACGGCGCCUCUCUGAACGCCAGCGGCCCCGGGACCGGUAUUAAGUAGUCGCUCAGAAGGCUUCUACUGCUGCCAUGGCGACGCUCCGCCCCCAUAAACAGCUUCCGCUGCUGCCAUUGGUCAGCGUGUCUCCAAGGAAACCGCGGGCUCCUGCCACUCUCUCUGGCGGCAGGUCUGACUCUCCGAUGCCACCUGCUGCUCAGGUCUGCAGAACCCCAGCACCGGUCGCAGUCACCCCAGUGCGGGUAGGGUAAUCCAGUGUUUCCCGGUAAGCCCCCACUCUCUGCCCUGUUCUCAGCAAGAUGCCUGGAAGCUGACGUUCCAGAGGCUUCUUCGGAAAUGCUCCCCCUCCUUUCCAGAUAGCCCAGGAAUCAGAGGUGGC